rnacentral:rRNA from 1 species
UACGUAGGGGGCAAGCGUUGUCCGGAUUUAUUGGGCGUAAAGAGCGUGUAGGCGGCCAGGUAGGUCAGCUGUGAAAACUCGAGGCUCAACCUCGAGACGCCGGUUGAAACCAUCUGGCUAGAGUCCGGAAGAGGAGAGUGGAAUUCCUGGUGUAGCGGUGAAAUGCGCAGAUAUCGGGAAGAACACCGGUGGCGAAGGCGCUCUGCUAGGCCGCAACUGACACUGAGGGACGAAAGCUAGGGGAGCGAAUGGG